AACGACUCUCGGCAACGGAUAUCUCGGCUCUCGCAUCGAUGAAGAACGUAGCGAAAUGCGAUACUUGGUGUGAAUUGCAGAAUCCCGUGAACCAUCGAGUCUUUGAACGCAAGUUGCGCCCAAAGCCAUUAGGCCGAGGGCACGUCUGGCUGGGUGUCACGCAACG
rnacentral:rRNA from 1 species